rnacentral:rRNA from 1 species
AUUGAACGCUGGCGGCAUGCCUUACACAUGCAAGUCGAACGGCGGCACGGGUGCUUGCACCUGGUGGCGAGUGGCGAACGGGUGAGUAAUACAUCGGAACAUGUCCUGUAGUGGGGGAUAGCCCGGCGAAAGCCGGAUUAAUACCGCAUACGAUCUACGGAUGAAAGCGGGGGACCUUCGGGCCUCGCGCUAUAGGGUUGGCCGAUGGCUGAUUAGCUAGUUGGUGGGGUAAAGGCCUACCAAGGCGACGAUCAGUAGCUGGUCUGAGAGGACGACCAGCCACACUGGGACUGAGACACGGCCCAGACUCCUACGGGAGGCAGCAGUGGGGAAUUUUGGACAAUGGGCGAAAGCCUGAUCCAGCAAUGCCGCGUGUGUGAAGAAGGCCUUCGGGUUGUAAAGCACUUUUGUCCGGAAAGAAAUCCUUGGCUCUAAUACAGCCGGAGGAUGACGGUACCGGAAGAAUAAGCACCGGCUAACUACGUG